rnacentral:rRNA from 1 species
AUGCGCGAAGAAGAUGAACACAAGAUGGCAUUCAAAACUCACCACGGCCACUUCCAGUUCAGGGUCAUGCCAUUCGGGUUGACAAACGCUCUGGCCACGUUCCAAUGCUUGAUGAACGCCAUCUUCGCCAAGUAUACCCGUAAGUUUGUCAUCAUUUUUCUUGACGACAUCCUUGUUUUCAGUGAGACUCUCGAGGAACACUUGGAACAUCUCUGCAUCGUCCUCAACUUGCUCCGUGAGCACCAGCUAUAUGCCAAGAUGUCGAAGUGCUCGUUCGCGCAAGACCACAUAGACUACCUAGGUCACGUCAUCUCCAAGCAGGGCGUCGCGACUGAUUCCGAGAAGACAGACGCCAUGGCGCAGUGGCCUACUCCAACCAAUGCCACCAAGCUCCGUGGCUUUCUAGGGCUCACCAGCUAUUACCGCAAGUUCGUCCCCCACUACGGGAUCAUCGCCAAGCCGCUCACCCAGCAGCUCACCAAGAAAGGCUUUGAAUGGCCCGAGUCGGCAAAGCUCGCGUUCGACACGCUCAAGAAGGCGAUGGUGACCACGCUGAUGCUCGCCCUCCCCGACUUCGACAAGCCCUUCUCCAUUGAAACCGACGCGUGCGACACCGGCAUCGGUGCCGUGCUCGUCCAAGACGGUCACCCUAUCGCGUACUACAACAAGGCGUUGGGCGUGAAGAACCAGAAGUUCUCCACCUACGAGAAAGAGUUCCUGGCCGUCAUGAUGGCCGUGGACAAAUGGCGCUCCUACCUGCAACGCGAGCCGUUCACCAUCAACACGGACCACAAGAGCUUAUGCAUGCUUGGGGAUCAUCAUCUGGUAACCGAUGUCCAGGACCGCGCCAUGUCCAAACUGGCCGGCCUUCAAUUCAAGUUCCAGUACAAGAGGGGCAUUGACAACGGCGCUGCGGAGGCGCUCUCUCGUGUGGGCAGUCACUACAACGCCAAUGCGAUGUCCCUCUGUCAGCCUGCAUGGAUUCAGGAAGUGGCCAAUUCGUAUGCCACGGAUCCAGAUGCCCAGGAAAAGCUUCAGCAGCUGGCGCUGCAUAGUCCGGACGACGAGGAGUAUGAGCUGUACCGUGAAGUCAUUCACCAUCGCGGGCGGCUAUGGAUCGGCGCAAACACAGCCCUGCGCACCAAACUGAUCAGCGCUCUGCAUGACAGCACCGUGGGUGGCCAUUCUGGCUCGACAGCCACUUACCAACGAGUCAAGAAGCUGUUUGAGUGGAAGGGUUUGAAGCAAUAUGUCGAAGACUAUGUGCGGCAGUGCCAGGUAUGUCAACAAGCGAAGCAUGAGUUGCGCAAACCAGCAGGCAAAUUGGCACCAUUACCCAUUCCUACAGCCCCAUGGCGAGACCUGCCAAUGGACUUCGUCGAGGGUUUGCCCAAAUCAGAAGGGUUCGACAUGAUCAUGGUGUUUGUCGACCGCUUCACCAAGUUUGCACACUUUGUGCCCUUGCGACACCCAUUCACGGCGACACAAGUGGCAAAAGUGUUCUGGGACAACAUUGUCAAGCUGCACGGCAUCCCCUCCUCCAUCAUCUCCGACCGCGACAAAGUGUUCACCAGUGUGCUCUGGCGUGAACUGCUAGCCAGCGCCGGCACCAAGCUCCCCUACUCCACUGCCUAUCACCCUCAGACGGACAGACAAAGCAAGCGCGUGAACCAAUGCAUGGACAUGUACUUGCGCUGCGCUGUCCAUGACACCCCCAUGCAAUGGCGUCGCUGGCUGCCCUCUGCAGAAUUCUGGUAG